rnacentral:rRNA from 1 species
UCAGCUUGUUGGUGGGGUAAUGGCCUACCAAGGCGUCGACGGGUAGCCGGCCUGAGAGGGCGACCGGCCACACUGGGACUGAGACACGGCCCAGACUCCUACGGGAGGCAGCAGUGGGGAAUAUUGCGCAAUGGACGAAAGUCUGACGCAGCAACGCCGCGUGAGGGAUGACGGCCUUCGGGUUGUAAACCUCUUUCAGCAGGGACGAAGCGAGAGUGACGGUACCUGCAGAAGAAGGACCGGCCAACUACGUGCCAGCAGCCGCGGUAAUACGUAGGGUCCGAGCGUUGUCCGGAAUUAUUGGGCGUAAAGGGCUCGUAGGCGGUUCGUCACGUCGGGAGUGAAAACUCGGGGCUUAACCCCGAGCCUGCUUCUGAUACAGGCAGACUAGAGGUAGGCAGGGGAGAGCGGAACUCCUGGUGUAGCGGUGGAAUGCGCAGAUAUCAGGAAGAACACCGGUGGCGGAGGCGGCUCUCUGG